rnacentral:lncRNA from 1 species
CAACACCCGAAGCCUCUUGUCACUGUGGGAGACCUUGAAGCUUAAAUGAAUCAUCUCCUUAAUCUGCCGUUCAAGCAGCUGAGUUCGGCCGGGGACUUCUGAAGGAGAGGGAACUGCCAGCUGGGGAGCGGAUACCUGAGUUCUGAGUGUAGAACACCAAGAGAUAGAGAAGCCUUGAGCUCACACAAGCAGAGUUCUGUGCAGGGAGAUGUCUCAGAAAAAGUGUUUCUUUAGCCCUCUCCCUGACUUGCAUCCUCAUGAGACUCUUAAACCCCCUCCUGACCUUCAGAGAUGUUUAUCAUCAGAGAUGGGUUAUGGAAGUGAUCCUAUAGAACCUGAGAGAUUGCUUAACUCAAACUCUGCUUCUACAUUAGAGUGUCUUCUGAAAAAUGACCUCAACAAAAUUUGCUAUCUACCUAUUUACUAACAUAAAUGAGGAAACCAAAAAGGUCAACGGUGAGGCAGGAAGGUUUCAGUUCAGUGGAGAAAAGAAAAUCUUGAUGAAAUGUCAUUAACUUCCAUAUUUGGAAUAAGCUAUAAAAGCUUGUCGAAGGUCUAAUUUAUGUGCAAGACUGAAAGCUGUUUAAACGGAUAAUAUGCCUCCUUCAUGAGAAAUACCACCCCUUUAUGCUCCAUUAAGUUCAGACGUUGACUCUAUAAGCUACGUACCAAUUAUUUCUUUCCAGAAACAGCAACGUAGUUUUUUU